CGAAUGGGUCCAAAGACUCUUAAAACCUACCGUGCUCCCCUACGUGGACAAUCAGGAAAGCCCUCCGGGGCAUAGGAAACUCUGAGAAGUUGAAGAACUGCGCCCUCGGCGCAUGACUAAGACAAAAAAUUA
rnacentral:misc_RNA from 1 species